UCCUAUGAUGCAGGCCUUACAAGGAGCAGUU
rnacentral:piRNA from 1 species